GCCAAUUGCCAACUUGAUGGUGGAGGGAAGGGGCAUAAAGGCUCUCCUUACUUAACUUUCAGGCAGGGAGGAUCCUGAGUUAAGGGAAAGGAUCAGACUUGUAUGAAGAACUCUUUUACUGUGAUGAGAAGGGAGUAAGAUCCUGGGUUUCCACACUACAUGCUUACUGGUGUCAGCUGGCAAGACUACGCCUGUGUCCAGUCAAACAACUGAGUGUACUGAAUCCUGAACUUCUGUGAAGGGACCAACCACAAUCUAUUCCCGUCAGAGAUGCACCUUUCAUAGCUCCUUGGACUAACCUUGACCUGUGCUCCAACUUAUUUUUUACAAACUAUUUAAAAACUGGAGGGACAUAGAAGCAAAGAGGAAAAAUCUCAGAUGAGAAUUUAUAUGAGGUUUGAAUAGAAUGUAAAUCAUUUGCCUGGGGUGACAAAACAAGUCAAUAUAAAAAGCUGGAAGAACUCGGGAGUCUUGGUUCUGCCACUUGCUCGCUGGUCGAUAUUCCCCUGACAUCAACACCCAUGCCACCUGGAAGAACAAGUAUGAGAAUGAAUGCACGUCUUCAGAGCAAGAGGGCUAUCGUAUUCCAGAAUAUCAGCAGAGUUGCUGGAGAAGCAACUCUUGGGCUACAAAUGCUUUCUAUUCUUUUCAAGGAGCCUUCGUCCUCCUAUCUCUCUUAUUACAAAAGCUGAAAAUGGGGGAAUGGUUCAGCACCUAUAAAUAGAGGCCUACUCAACUCGAGGAGGUAGUUGGCCAAUUUUGUGGGCAGAUCACAGGGCCAGCAGCCUUUUUUUUUUUUUGUGGGCUUAUCAUGCCCCCCAUGCCUCUGAUUGGCUGGGGUGCCCAGUGCUCCCUGCCCCCACUGACUGGAGAGGGCUGUUUUUCAUAUGGCCCUGGCCCUUGCUGCUGAUUGGCUAAGAGUGCUGCCUGUCAUGCAGCCCCUACCCCUUGCUGUUGAUUGGUAGAGAGGGGCAGGACCAUAAAAUAGACAGCUUUCUCAGCGACUCAGCAGUGAGGCAGUCCCACUCUCCCCGUCCCCCUGGGAGGACUGCUGCCUUCCACUAGGGAGCCAAGAUUGAUUUUUAUUAAGGUUUUUUUUUGUUCCCCCAUAGAUUUUGCAGAGAUCACCUGAUUUUGUGAUUUCUGUGAAAUCGCGAUUUGAGUAUGUCCUGCCUUUAUAAGGGCUUAUUUGCUGUACUUGCAAUGGACAGUGUCCCAAUGAUGUUGUACAAACUUUCACAUCCCAUUGGCUUAGAUAAUUUACCAUGGCUUUGGCAGUUCAUGGGGAUUAGAAGAGAAAGCAAAACAAACAUCUAGCACAAUUAAUUGUUUUAUUUAAGUAGACUUAAUGCUUAAGCAAACUCCCAGAAGCCAAAUAUGAAGCUAGUCCAUAAUAUGCAGGUGCAAUUUAAAGAAUAACUUUUCAACAGUUUCAAAAGUUAGGCUGAGAAGCAGCAGCCACACAAGAAUUGUACCUCUUCUAGAAAGCAGCAGGAUAAGUUGCAAGUGAAACCGUGAAAUGUUUACACCCAAGUUCAAACUCCUGUGAACUUGCCAAACUUGGCUCCCUCUCUCCCUCCCUUCCAUAUGUUUCAUAUUCAAAUCACUCUCUCUAUUUGGUACACUGCUCUGUGCAUGGCCUUUUACAACAUCUGAUGACCUAAGCUUGGGCUUAUAACUUGUGCUGUGCAUCUCUGAUUUAAUUGUUCUAGAAGGUGCAAACCUGCCCUAUCCUCUGCAAUAGUUUAUUCUGAAUGGGCUCUGAUUGGACAUCCAGGAAGCCAAAGCAGAAAGUAAAAAACAAAAAAAACAAAAAACAAAACAACCUCUUUUUGCCUUAAUGUACUUCCACUGAAGUCAAUAGAGCAACAUUGACUAAAACCAGAGGAGGAGCUGCUCCCAGCUCUCUAAAUUACCCUGUAUGGGUGGGCGUGCUCCCAGGUGCUAUGAACCAGCUUGCAGGGAUUGGCUUCCAAAUGCCUUUCUCAAACUGAACCCUGAAGGGCUUUUGUACAGCACCAAAUCAAGGGCAUACGACGUGAUGUAGAACUAACAAUAAACUCAGUAUAUUAUCAAAUAUUAGGGUAAUUAAGAGCACAUGGAGCAGGACAGGCAUUUUGUUUUUGUUAUAGUGUUUGGGUGCACAUUUUGAUGUUUUUGCAUGUGUAUGGGAUCAUACGGGUGAUUUGUAAUAAAUAUUUUGCUGUUAUGGAGCCUAUGGGGACUCUGCUUUGAGAUGCCCGUAAGGCUUGUGUGUUCCAGUGACUCUGAUCAAUAUUCUGGUGGGGAAUUUUUAUUUCUGGUAGGACUUGCCAAAGCUGGCUAGGUUAAAAGGAAGCUAAUAGAUAAAAACCAGUCCUCUGAACUCCAGAUUAGUAGUUGAAUAAUAGACCCACAACCAGUCCUCACAUGAAAAAAGGUUGUAGAAAUGUUGGCAAACAGAAUAAUAGGGAAGGGAUGUUAAAGCCUUGUUUGUGCGCGUAAUACAGCUGAUGCUAUUGUGAAAAGUUUAAAUUCAGAGAGGCAUAUUUCAUUAGGAAGGAUUCCAAAGAUUUACCUAUCCUUUUUUUUGUACCAAUCCACUGAAAGGCAGUGGCUAUCCCUGAGGAGGAAUUAUAUAUCGUGAAGCUGAGGUACUCUGGUCCAGGACAGUGGGACAACUCUUUACUAUGAGAAGCUGUACCUUGAGAUUAUUAGGAGUUCAUUUUUCCCAGUUUGGCACGAACAAUCACAUGUGCAUACAUUUGUCCACUUUGAAAGAAAGUGCUUUUUGAAUCAUCAUCGCAAGAUGGACAUUGUACUAGUAACCCAAUGCAGUGACACUAUUUAUGAUUGUCCACACUAACCUUAGUGGAAUGAUGGUGAUUUAUACUAGCUAUGAAUGUAUUGACUUUCUCAAAAUAACAUUAGUACUUCAGAAAAUUGAUGAAAUCACAUACCUAGAGACUACAGACCUAGUGCCUAAGUGUUACAGGAAAAACCUAGAUAGAUCUAGUAUGGUGCUAGCAAUGAGCAGAUUUUUCCAUACUGCCUCACUUAUAUUCCUCCAUUGAAGGAGUCACCUCUAAGUUGGAGAAAGACCAACAUGACUCAUGUAUUUCUUGUCCUAUCUACUAAGACACCAAUGACCAGACCAAUCAGUACACAUUGCGAUGAUGUCACUUGCAAUACUGUCACACGUCUUCUAAUAAGUGGUUAAUAGAGUUCUGGCAGAUACUGAACAGUAAAAACUGCAGUGAUGUUCAAUGAGCCCAUAAGGUUCAAUCCCAGUAGUAUCUGCGGAAAGCAGCCUGAACUGACACAGGUGGCUUUGACAGCAAGGUUAGGUUAGGGAUUGAACAUGAAAAUAAACGUACAAAAAGAAUGCCUUACAAAGUCUUGGGUCUGAUUUUGCCAUCCUUAUUCUACUUUUGUGGAAUUCCUUAUUCUCUGAAUACCGCCAGUGAGGUCUAUGGGAUUGCUUAGGAACUAAUAUGUAUUCUCCUCUUGAGUGAAAUUUGACCCAUGUGAUUAUUCAGCCUUGGAGUAUAAAGUUGGAUCAAAAAACACACAGACAGCUACUAAGAAAAUAUCAUGGACUUAACAAAAAAUUCAUUAGCUAAGGUAUCAUCCGCCACCUAGAGAGUCACUUCAGAAGUGCAGGGAAACAUAAAGCAUGGCCCAAAGCAAUCUUAAUCAAAGUUCUCGCAUGGUCCACUCGGACUUUCCCUGCCUGCCUGUACCUCCCACUGAUGUUCAGUGGCACAUUGUGCAGAAUGGUCCAGCAGGGGCCGUGAUGAGAUCCACCAUGCAGAGUUGGAGUGGCACAGUUUCCUGUGUAAUAUGUAGUCUCUGCUCCAUUAAAUACACACUGAAGAACAGUAGGCUUUGAUGUCCAAGGAAGAAAACAAGGUAUGCAGCCAGCAUCAUUUUGUUAUUGACCAAAGGGGACUCUUUUUGUUACUAGUUCCAAUUCUCUGAAGGAAGGAGCUAUGUUGAAAAGCAGAAUUCAUUUCCACUAAUGCAGGUAUAAUUUGUAAAGUGUGCAUUGUUUGCUUUCAAAUACUAUAAUUCUCUACCAAAGGAAUGUAUUUGAUUAGAGAC